rnacentral:rRNA from 1 species
AUUGAACGCUGGCGGCAGGCCUAACACAUGCAAGUCGAGCGGAUGAGGGGUGCUUGCACCCUGAUUCAGCGGCGGACGGGUGAGUAAUGCCUAGGAAUCUGCCCGAUAGUGGGGGACAACGUUUCGAAAGGAACGCUAAUACCGCAUACGUCCUACGGGAGAAAGUGGGGGCUCUUCGGACCUCACGCUAUCGGAUGAGCCUAGGUCGGAUUAGCUAGUUGGUGGGGUAAAGGCUCACCAAGGCGACGAUCCGUAACUGGUCUGAGAGGAUGAUCAGUCACACUGGAACUGAGACACGGUCCAGACUCCUACGGGAGGCAGCAGUGGGGAAUAUUGGACAAUGGGCGAAAGCCUGAUCCAGCCAUGCCGUGUGUGUGAAGAAGGUCUUCGGAUUGUAAAGCACUUUAAGUCGGGAGGAAGGGCUGCAGGUUAAUACCUUGCAGCCUUGACGUUACCGACAGAAUAAGCACCGGCUAACUUCGUGCCAGCCGCCGCAGUAA